rnacentral:tRNA from 1 species
AGCGGCUUGGUGGGGUGGAAACACACACGCUUUCUAGGUGAGAAGACGCGGGUUCGAACCCCAGUCGCUU